CUGAGCUACAUAUCAUACUAGCCAUAACAAGGCAAGGCUUUACAUAUUAUAUUCACUACUCCCAUUCUGAACAUAGGAAGACUCGGGAUUUGUAGAAGUCAAACAACCUGUGGAUUUACACUAAAAGCAGAAAUUUCAAAAGGUAUUUCGUUUGAUAACGUUUCAUAGGUUAUCAAUAAAUAAAUUACAACAUGAGGCCAACAUCAGCCAUGGUGUGUCAUUU